GAAUUGAUGUCAUACUGUGACUAGACCCAGAGCUGUCAAAACUGGCAGGUGCCCGUUCACCGACUGUCAGUGAUUGCCUUUCGGACUCAAAGGACAACGAGUGAAGCUUAACAUUUCAGAUUCAAGGAAAACUGCACAUAUGAACCAAUGAAAUCCGGUUUUACAAACUUAACUGACUUGCUGGACGGCCGCCAAGAUUCGAAAGAUUUGAGCUGUCAAACUCAGCUGAGUGACAAUGGUGGUAUAGGCGGGUGUUCUAGCAGAUAAGCGAAGAACACUUUGAUAGUCUUCUUUCUUGGAUGAAAAGUCUUCAUAUGCAGGGGCAAGAAAAGAAGUAGCUGUUUUUGAACAGAGGAACAAUGGUCGUCCAGAGAGAAAUCAAACCAAAACACGAGAUGGUGUUUACGUCUGCGAAGUCGCCUGCAGACGACAACAACCCUUCUCUGGAUGAUUGUCCUUUAUUGCUAAAUCAACUAAAUAUUUCGCCUCAGGUGUCGUCGGAAAAGUUUUCUGACAUAUACAGGAAACUUCAAGAAGCAAUGAAAACACUCCCUGUGGAUCCCCCAACCUUGAAAAGACUGGCUCCAAGUGGUCAUGGCAUGGAUCUGAGACUAAGAGCUGUCACUGUUAUUCGAUGUCUGCAUUUGUUCUUUGGUGGUACUAGUGAUGUGUUUGCAACAUCCAUCAGUGUCUUGGACUCUUUUAUGUCUCUUGUCCGAGUUCAACAGAAGUAUCUAUCAUGUGUUGCAGCAGCUUGUUUUUUCAUUUCGUCCAAAGUGCAUUUAGAAGAGGAGGAAAUUCCAAGUGGCAACGAACUUGCAUAUUUACAUGGGAACAAGUGGACAUCAUCAGAUCUCUGCAGGAUGGAGGUUGUCAUUCUACAGAAACUCAGAUGGGAUAUUCCAAAACCAACUACCUCACAUUCAUCAGACUGUUUGAAAAACUGUUUGCUCAAUUUCAUCAUACAUCUCUUUGUCUUGACACUCUCAUCCAUAUGGCUGAAAGCUUCACCAAACUAGAAGAAAGUACAGUAUUCAGGGCACCAACACUUGCCUUUUGUAUACUUUGUCACAUACUGGAGAAACAAGGCGAUAUUGCUGCUGAUACUAGACUCAUUUUGAUACAUCUACAGUUAAUAUGUGAUAUCCAAGAUUCUGAGUUAUUUGAAUGCAAAGAUCUCCUUGGCCAAAGUUUAAAGGAGAGUGGACUCCAAGCUAGUCAAUCAAGCCGUCCAUCAGUUUUCUUCCCAUUCCUGAAAAUUCGCUCACGACCAAGCUCAGAAGGAGAAAGUGAACUUCCAUCCAUUACUGAAAUCAGUUCCUACUAGACAGAUCACAUCAUCAAAUCCAGAGUAAAGAAAUGAGUCAGCUUGGACCAUUAGCCUGUUCGUCAUUGUUUCAACGUAACUGAUCCGAUCAAAUUUUAUUCAAAGUGAUUUUUCUUGUGGAAUGUUCAAUAGUCCAUGAGAUCCAUGAGAAGGUACUCACUUCACAAUGAAUCAAGUCGUUAUUAGACUAUGAUGAAUCUCAUCAUUCACAUCAUCAUUCAUUGUACAUUGAAUCAUUUCAUUUACUUGUCUGUGAUAAAAUUGAAAUACCCACCCUCAAGGUGUUCAGUUAAAACUGAGAUAAAAACACUUCAUAACAAUGUACCCUAAUACUGAACACAAAACACCCAUUACAACCCCAUUUUGUGUAACAUUUGUAGAUGUCAUCUUGUUUUAUGCUUUGUUGUUUUACCAUAGUCCUGAGAAUGCUGUCAUUGUAACAUGUUAUAACUGACCACUUUUUAAAAGUUAUUAAUGGUCAGUGUCCAGUACAUUUUAACCAGUUAGUAAUGAAAUGGAAGAUGUCCCCUUCAUUAUCUUUCAUUUAACAAAGUGUUUAGGGGGUUCCAUCAUGAUGAUCUGUGACUUUUAUUACACUACUGAUUUAAUGGACUUCGUUAAUUUAACACUGAUGCACAUCCACCACAUUCACCAAAACUGUAAGGAAGUAUCGUAAAUAUGAUCUUUCUACCUAUUCUGGGGAAAGUGAAGCUAAAGAGUCCCCGUUUGCGUCAUCACCUGUCAUUGAUUCUGAUUUUUCUAUUGAGGUUAUUUUCAUGGAAGAAGAUCCCCUUUAAGAUUUAUUUAAUUCAAUUUACAUGAUGAAGGGGGGGAAUUAUUUAUUGUGAUUGGUUAUGAAAUACCUAGUCAGAAAACUUAAUAUAUUUUUCUUCAUACCCCCAUCCCAAGUAAACUGCUAGCCAUGUUGUUUAGUUUUUAGUCUAAUCAUCAUUAAAGGAAAAAUCUGUUUUAAUACGGUAUUGUACAUUUCAUUGAUAAAUGAAAUAGAUUAUGUAUAUCUCAGUAUUCAUGAAAGCUUAUAGCGUUGUUAAGACUUAACAUGCGUAAGGUGCAAUAAUUAUUUUUAAUGUAAAGGUGUAUGAGAGUUUGGAUUUUAUUUAUUACCAUCAAUUAUUUAUCAUAUGAACAUGUUUUAUGAUGUGAGAACAAGUCUUGUAUUCACAUUAAUUUUUGGAGUCCAUGAAGGGACAGCAGAUAAAUGCAUAUGCAGUGUUUGAAAUAAAGUUUGAAAAUCAAGCAUUCCUUGCCAUUAUCUCAAUUACGUAACUUAAUUCUUGGGUGAAAGACCUCAAUUUCAAACACUACCAUGCAUUGUUAUUGUUUCUAUUUCCUAUGUUAUGACUAAAAGAAUCAUUGUGUAAAUACAUGUGAUCUUAUAGCAGUUGAAUGCAAAGUACAUAAUAUGUAAUGAUACAUGUUCAUGUAGUCCAUUUUUUUACCACAAUUAAAUUUUAUAGAAAUUUGA